rnacentral:rRNA from 1 species
AGAGUUUGAUCCUGGCUCAGGACGAACGCUGGCGGCGCGCCUAACACAUGCAAGUCGAGCGAGAACCAGGGCUUUGGUCCUGGGGACAGCGGCGAACGGGUGAGUAACACGUGGAUAACCUGCCCUCGGCACCGGAAUAGCCCGGGGAAACCCGGAUUAAUGCCGGAUGGCCCCACAUCCCUGCGGGGAACGUGGGAAAAGGUAGCUUCGGCCUCUGGCCGAGGAUGGGUCCGCGGUGGAUUAGCUUGUUGGCGGGGUAACGGCCCACCAAGGCGACGAUCCAUAGCUGGUCUGAGAGGACGAUCAGCCACACUGGGACUGAGACACGGCCCAGACUCCUACGGGAGGCAGCAGUGGGGAAUCUUGCGCAAUGGGCGAAAGCCUGACGCAGCGACGCCGCGUGCGGGAAGAAGGCCUUCGGGUUGUAAACCGCUUUCAGGAGGGACGAAGCCACUCGGGUGAACAGCCCAGAGGGUGACGGUACCUCCAGAAGAAGCCCCGGCUAACUACGUGCCAGCCGCCGCGGUAAUAC